UACAGGGGGGGCAAGCGUUGUUCGGAAUUACUGGGCGUAAAGGGCUCGUAGGUGGCCAACUAAGUCAGACGUGAAAUCCCUCAGCUUAACUGGGGAACUGCGUCUGAUACUGGAUGGCUUGAGUUUGGGAGAGGGAUGCGGAAUUCCAGGUGUAGCGGUGAAAUGCGUAGAUAUCAGGAGGAACACCGGUGGUGUAAACGCUUUCUGGACCAUAACUGACGCUGAGGCACGAAAGCGUGGGUAGCAAACAGG
rnacentral:rRNA from 1 species